AACACGUGUAGUUGGAACGAUAUAUUCCAAAUUAAUGUCAAUGUGUUAAAAAACGAUGGCUCUUAUAAAUGAGAUUUUAUUGAGUUUGUUUCCCUAGCUAAUGUUUGAAACAAAUUAAUGAAGGAGUUAAUCCAUGAAGUGGGAAAAAGAAAUAAUGACUUACAUGAUAUUGGUGGUGGUCCAGAAAAUGGUGUAACGAUGAAAGUGUUUGGAAGGGUGAAACCAGAGGGAUCGAUCGUCGAGAGAAGGGAUGAUAUUUGGAUGACCAAAAAGAGGGGUGAAGCCUUUGGAGAAGGGGGUUGUGUUCAACGCACAACCUACGUCCACGAGAAGAAGAAGAAGAUAGAUUGAUGAGAGAGAAUAUUGGAUGAGCUUCUUCAUUGCUGCUAUCAAAUCAUGAUUCAUAACUGAUUCUUAAUUUGAGUUUUCUGUUUUUUUCUAUCAAUCUUGUUAAUAUAUAUAUAUAUAUAUAUGCACUACUACUCUAGAAAGAAGAUGAGGAACCGUGUGCUUUUGUUAUAGGAAAAUGUAUCGCUAGCUAGUUGCUGGCACACGUAAUUAAAGCCUUUUCUGGAUAUCAAAUACAAAGUGUUUUUAUCAAAA